rnacentral:lncRNA from 1 species
CUUAAACCGGUUACCUCUGUCAACAGCUGGGUCUCAGUCCCCCAGGGCCUGCCAAGCAACCACGCCGCAGCUCCUCAGAACUAUCCUGGCAAGUGAAAGAAGACAGAGCUUUCACUCCCAAGACUUUCCUCUUCCACAGGGUAAGAGUUAAUUUCAGACUGUGCUGUAAUCUGUGCAAGUUCACCCAAACUGAGCCAAUUCCCAUGGCUUUGGGAACGCCCCAAGGCAGAGAAACUGGAAAACAUCCUGCAGGGUAAGGCCUGAGUACUUGAAAGUCACAGCUAUCUGCACCAGAUCCGGGCACCCAGGAGGUGAAGAGAGACAGAGCCAAGGAAUGCGAUGCUGUGCUCAAGAGGCAUCUGCUACAACCAGCGGACCCCUUAUCUCCUUUGGUGUGAUAAAAAAUAGAAUGAAUACUACUACUGAGUCCCAUCUAAUGGAAAGGCAGACUCAUGAAAACACCACCAUGUGUCCUCUUCCACCUCCAUCACCAGAGCUGGUACUGUGUGAGAGCCUUCUCCCCAAAGUCGAAAUAAUCACGAAAGAUUCAUGGUAUUGGACAGUUUUCAUUAAUCUUCAAAUUUCAUCAUAAAUGUAGAAUUCUAAUGGACAUAAAUAUUCAGUGAGCUUUACUGAUAAUCUUCUAAAAAUUCCAUUUUGGGAUAGAAACAUUACUUUCAGAGCUACAAAAUCUCUUCACCCAGAUGUUGACCUUUCUCAAGUAUAGGAUACAAAACAAAGUCAAAAGUAUUGAGCAUGGCUACUUAUAUCAGUUC